AUGGCUAGGUAUCCCAGCCGCAUGCGGUCAUCCUGAGACCACUGUCCACAUCUCUCACAUGCUGCUACUAUUUGCUCUGAACUUGGACCAGCAUCAAUAUCCACAGCCAUCAACUCCCAGAAACGAGCCAACUCAUCUGUCACCUCUACAGCGGGAUUAUCCAGGUUCUUAAUAUAUUCACAGUUCAAACCAGUGAGGUGCUCGAACUCAAUCAGGGAAAACCUCACCGGUUCUGGACCAAUAAGACACCAGAGCUCAUACUUCUUCUUGAUAUCAAGCUGGUAACAGAGCAUAUAAUGAACUAGCCUUGACCCCCAUCCAAAUUUCAACUCCCAAAACUUGAUGAACAC
rnacentral:lncRNA from 1 species